rnacentral:rRNA from 1 species
CCUACGGGAGGCAGCAGUGGGGAAUAUUGCACAAUGGGGGAAACCCUGAUGCAGCGACGCCGCGUGAGUGAAGAAGUAUUUCGGUAUGUAAAGCUCUAUCAGCAGGGAAGAAAAUGACGGUACCUGAUUAAGAAGCACCGGCUAACUACGUGACAGCAGCCGCGGUAAUACGUAGGGGGUCAGCGUUAUCCGGAUUUACUGUGUGUAAAGGGAGCGUAGACGGCAGCACAAGUCUGGAGUGAAAUGCCGGGGCUUAACCCCGGAACUGCUUUGGAAACUGUGCAGCUGGAGUGCAGGAGAGGUAAGUGGAAUUCCUAGUGUAGCGGUGAAAUGCGUAGAUAUUAGGAGGAACACCAGUGGCGAAGGCGGCUUACUGGACUGUAACUGACGUUGAGGCUCGAAAGCGUGGGGAGCAAACAGGAUUAGAUACCCCGGUAGUC